rnacentral:rRNA from 1 species
UGGGGAAUUUUGGACAAUGGGGGCAACCCUGAUCCAGCCAUGCCGCGUGAGUGAAGAAGGCCUUCGGGUUGUAAAGCUCUUUCAGCCGUGAAGAAAACGCAUGGGUUAAUACCCUGUGUGGAUGACGGUACCGGAAUAAGAAGCACCGGCUAACUACGUGCCAGCAGCCGCGGUAAUACGUAGGGUGCGAGCGUUAAUCGGAAUUACUGGGCGUAAAGCGUGCGCAGGCGGUUUUGUAAGACAGGCGAGAAAUCCCCGGGCUCAACCUGGGAAAUGCGUUUGUGACUGAAAGGCUAGAGUAUGGCAGAGGGGGGUGGAAUUCCACGUGUAGCAGUGAAAUGCGUAGAGAUGUGGAGGAACACCGAUGACGAAGGCAGCCACAUGGGCAAAUACUGACGCUCAUGCACGAAAGCGUGGGUAGCAAACA